rnacentral:hammerhead_ribozyme from 12 species
CAUGAGUUGGCGGGUGCUGCCCCCACCCUGAUGAGCCUAAGGCAGGGCGAAACUCACU